UGCAUGUUUAAUUGGGGGUUUAUGACUGGAUUCUAGCCGAAUUCAGUAGGCUCACCACUAAAUUAAUGUUCGGUUGAUUAUAAUGACUUAUUAUGGUCCGCAUGGACUAGGCCUUAUUUCGGCAAAAGGCAGCAUAGGCAUUUCCUUCCCUCACCACUGAAUGGUAAUUCAGCCAAGGUGGAAUAAGAUUUUAUUUCCAUUUUCAAAUUUUGCCCCUCACCUUUCUAAAACCCUCCUUCUUCAACCCAACAGCUCCUCUCACCCAGCCUCUCUUGCUUUCUUCGCCUCCGGCCACUUUCAGUUCUCCGCUAUUUCAUGUCAGUCAAUUGAAGUCACCAGUUCCUCCGUUCUUCUCGACAGCCUCUGUCUUGUUUAUGCGUUCAGUUUAGGGGUGAAGCAGUACAACUAGCAUGAUGUGGAGUCAGGUAUUCAUGGAACUGUGACUGAAAGUUUUCAUCAGUGGGGUAUUCCACUUGAACUAAUUUAAAUGAAUGGUUAAAGGUUUUUUGAACUGUGGUCUCCAUAUAAGUGUAUUAUGGUUCGAGUUUUUUUUUUUUUUUUCUUGUUGGACAUAUUUUCUAUGGAGAGAGCACAUUAACGAGGAAUUACUAUUUGUGGUCCUACCAACUCGUAGGAAGGGUGCCUCUGUUUUACUUGGUGAAUAUGAUCUAUGUCUGUAAGAGGAGUUUGUUACUGGUUUGUAUUUUUGAAUGUGAUCAUCAGUUUUUCUGUUUGUCUGAUUUCAUCUUAUAAAUUCACUAUUUAAUGGAA